AUGCCAGGAGCCCUGCGCGCCCGACGCUGCCCCUGCCGGCGACCUUCUCCAUGGCGCCACCACCGGCGAGCCCUGCCAGUUCCUUCGCCUCACCACCCUCUCCUUCACCUCCUCGCGCCCGCGCCUCCUCCUCCCUCCAUUCGGCUUCAAGCUCGCCGCCUCCCUGCCACGGCGUCCGUGUUGUAUCGUCGCGCCGGCGACCACGACCAACAUCGUGCCUCUGUUGGCGCCGCACCACGUUGCUGCUCCGACGCCAUCUUCCUCCCCCUUGCUGUUUCGCCAGCCAUGGCCUCCUCUGCACCCGCACGUCACCCCCAGCAAGCUCUGCCCGCCCUUCUCCUUUUUUCGGGUUCAUUUCCAGCGCCGCUCGACCCUGCUCCGCUUCCUGCACGUGACCUUGCGGCCUAG
rnacentral:rRNA from 1 species